UACGGAAGGCAGCAGUGGGGAAUAUUGCACAAUGGGCGCAAGCCUGAUGCAGCCAUGCCGCGUGUAUGAAGAAGGCCUUCGGGUUGUAAAGUACUUUCAGUCGUGAGGAAGGUGUUAAGGUUAAUAACCUUAGCAAUUGACGUUAGCGACAGAAGAAGCACCGGCUAACUCCGUGCCAGCAGCCGCGGUAAUACGGAGGGUGCGAGCGUUAAUCGGAAUUACUGGGCGUAAAGGGCACGCAGGCGGUUAAUUAAGUUGGAUGUGAAAUCCCUGGGCUUAACCUGGGAAUGGCAUUCAAGACUGGUUAGCUAGAGUCUUGUAGAGGGGGUAGAAUUCCAUGUGUAGCGGUGAAAUGCGUAGAGAUGUGGAGGAAUACCGGUGGCGAAGGCGGCCCCUGGGACAAGACUGACGCUCAUGUGCGAAAGCGUGGGGAGCGAAACAGGGAUUAGGAUACC
rnacentral:rRNA from 1 species